rnacentral:lncRNA from 1 species
ACGCACCUAGGAAUGUCAAUGGGUACUAGUAUUCAAAAUUUUAUCUGAAUCCGAACUCGAAUGGAGCGAAUUUAUUCGAUACUAAAUGGAUAUGGUUUCGAAUAUGGAUAUCAAAAAUAAAAACCUGACGAAUAUGAAUAUGAAUAUGAAUUUUGACUUAUGUAUCUGAUCUGAACUUGAAGCUGAUUCGAACCUGAAUUUAUUUUACAUUAUAUAUAAUAUAAAUAUAAAAAUUUGAUGUUAUAUUUGAAUUUGUAUUGUAAAAAUGGCCCAAACUUGAAGUGGCAAAGGGCUUUGUGGUUGGUACCUGAGACCCAAGUUCGAAUUCUAGUUGAUUUAUAUUUCUAGCUAAGUUUAUUUCUAACUAAGUUUAUUUCUAAAUGAAAUAAACUAAGCGGGUAGCGUGCUAUCUAUCUUUCAAAAAAAAAUUUAAUAUAAUAUAUUUUUAAAUAUUGGAAAAGAAAUAAUUAUUUUGGGUCGAAUUUUUGGGUUUGAAUUUUGGUCGGAUUCGAAUUUGAAUAUAAAUUUUUAAAAUUUGUCGGAUUCAAAUUUCGAAUUUGGAGUCAGGUUCAUAUUUGGGUUUUUAAAAAGCGG